AUUGAACGCUGGCGGCAGGCUUAACACAUGCAAGUCGAGCGGGGAAGGGUAGCUUGCUACCUGACCUAGCGGCGGACGGGUGAGUAAUGCUUAGGAAUUUGCCUAUUAGUGGGGGACAACAUUCCGAAAGGAAUGCUAAUACCGCAUACGCCCUACGGGGGAAAGCAGGGGAUUUUCGGACCUUGCGCUAAUAGAUGAGCCUAAGUCAGAUUAGCUAGUUGGUGGGGUAAAGGCCUACCAAGGCGACGAUCUGUAGCGGGUUUGAGAGGAUGAUCCGCCACACUGGGACUGAGACACGGCCCCGACUCCUACGGGAGGCAGCAGUGGGGAAUAUUGGACAAUGGGCGAAAGCCUGAUCCAGCCAUGCCGCGUGUGUGAAGAAGGCCUUUUGGUUGUAAAGCACUUUAAGCGAGGAGGAGGCUACUUGGAUUAAUACUCUAGGAUAGUGGACGUUACUCGCAGAAUAAGCACCGGCUAACUUUGUG
rnacentral:rRNA from 1 species